rnacentral:lncRNA from 1 species
GCCAGGGGCUGGAGAUCUGGGGAGGCAGAGACUGCAGCGUCAGCAUGAAGGGAUUUUGAUGGGGGCUGGAGCACUCCAUGUCCUGAUGGUGCUUAUUUACAACCAUCUGUCAUCUCAGAACUGCACACACGGUGGAGAGGAAGACAGCUGAGGACACAGCAUCUCACUAGCCCCUCCUCACCCACCAGGUGCCAGGCCAGGUGUCACCUAAGCCAAGCAGCACACGACCGCCC